rnacentral:rRNA from 1 species
UACGUAGGGGGCAAGCGUUGUCCGGAAUUAUUGGGCGUAAAGAGCGCGUAGGCGGUCCGGUAAGUCGGUUGUGAAAGUCGGGGGCUCAACCCUCGGAUGCCGAUCGAUACUGUCGGGCUAGAGUCCGGAAGAGGCGAGUGGAAUUCCUGGUGUAGCGGUGAAAUGCGCAGAUAUCAGGAGGAACACCAAUGGCGAAGGCGGUUCUCUGGGCCGAUACUGACGCUGAGGAGCGAAAGCGUGGGGAGCGAACAGG